rnacentral:lncRNA from 10 species
GCCUGCCCCCAGCCCCGCCACUUUUCAAGUUGGGCAACUUAAUGGAAAAAAAUGAAAUAAAAAGAAGAGCGAGACCAACAUACUUGAUGAAGAAGAUUCUCCCACCGCCGUCAACUCCGUAGGCCCACCGGCCGGGCAGGUCCAGCCAGUCAAUCUCAUCGGCCAUCUCGGUGUCCCUGCAGCCCCUCUCGCUCUCUGCGCCCCCAGGCGCCGGCUGGGCAGGGGGCUUGGUACCCGGGAACCCCCACUUGCUGCCCCCUUCCAGAGGCCGUGGUGGGGGAGGGGGUCCGGCCGGGCUGGCGGCGUCGCUCCCGGGUCCCUGGCAGUGUGGCUGGCCUCCCCACUGAAGACGCGCUGGCCUCAAGCCGGGCGGCAGGGAGCAGGCAAGCGCUUAACCCUGGCCGGCCGGGAGCCCCAGACACCACCUGCCUCCUCGUCGACUCGGGAGCUCCUCUUCGGACCGUUUCCUGAACUUUAAUGACGGGCAAUUAGCGCGAAAGAAAAACUACAUGGAAUGAGGAAAUAGACCACUCCUGCCUUCAAAAUCCUCUUCGUGAGGUUUAUAGAAUUCCUAAGAACUCAGGAAAGACAUCAGCAGAGAGCAAUGAUCGUCAUAGCCAGAUGCACUGUCACCUCCAUUCAUACAGCACUGACUUUGCCCUUUCAGUCCCAUGGGGUUUACAGAUCUGUUCUCCUAACAGCUUCUUGCCUAUUUCACAAUGCCUAUUGCAAAACUAGCUCCACACAGAAUGCACCCACCCAGCUACUUGUCGAAUUACAACCUGAUGAUGGAUCCACCAGAAACUAAGAAUGGAAAGGUUAUAAAGAAAUCACAGCAUUCAUCUUCUGGAAGAAAAAGACUAUUUCUUAGAAAGUAAAAUAAAUGAAUAAAAGCACUUAAUAAGGAGCAUAACGCGUAACUCCCAGUCGUGACCUGGAUCUCUAUCAAAUCCUCUCCCUGUCACAGAUGCUCUUUCUACCUUAAAUGAAUCCUAUUUUGGCUGAGAAAAUAGCUGUGUGCCUGUGGGUAAAUGACUAAACUCUUUUCACCUCCCUAAGUUAUGCAGGGUGUUAGCCACUUACUGGCAAGAAGUCUCACUCUAUAAAGGGACACUCUGCCUCUGAUUUCAGGGGUUUCAUGUGUAGGGUGUGGGAUACUCUCUUGCUGAGUAGGUGGCCAAGAGAAAAUACCUCUAGUUUCUUUCUUCUGGAAGUCAUCAAAUGAAACUACCAGCAUUGCUGGGGGUGGUGGCUCAUGCCUGUAAUCCCAGCACUUUGGGAGGCUGAGGUGGGUGAAUCUCUUGAACCCAGGGGUUCAAGUCCAGCCUGGGCAACAUGGCAAAACCCCAUCUCCACGAAAAAUAGAAAAAUUAGCUGGGCAUGGUGGCACAUGCCUGUAGUCCCAGCUACUUGGAAGGCUGAGUCAGGAGGAUCACAUGAACCCAGGAGGUGGAGGUUGCAGUGAUUGUGCCACUGUAUUCCAGCCUGGGUGACAGAGUGAGACCCUGCCUCAAAAAAAAAGAAACUACCAGCAUUAUUCUUGGAGAAAGGCUAGAAGGGCAGAGAAGCUAUCUUUGAAAGACUGAGAUUAAACAUGAACAUGCAGAGUUAGUUUCUCUCUGUGUGUAUUCUCGUACAUUCUUCUGUACAUUUAUUUUUAUUAUAUUCUUAUACAUUCAUCUGUACAUUUAUUAUUAUUUAGUAUUAUUUCCAUACAUUUACACAUAUAUGACUAUUACAUUGGCAGGGAGUAAUCACAACUCCAGCACCUAGUACAGUGCCUCUGCAUAUGGGUGUUUAAUACCUGAAAAAUGCAUAUUAGCAUAAAGAGUAAGUAUAUGGGAGGUUGGUAGUAGAAAGGAAAAAAAUCAUUACUCCUCUCCAAGGGUAGAGGGCCUUGAAAUGUAUAGCAUAGAGUGGCAGAGUUUUGAGGAAUGAGAAGGGAAGAAAUGACUUUCCAGGCAAAGGAAAUAUUACUGCCUACAGUACUGCAGAAAUGAAAGUAGUAGCCCCCCCUGCCCCCACCGCAUGAUCUAGCUAGUAACCUAGCUGGAGCAUAGGUUAGCAUAAGAUGGUAGGUUGCAGUGGAUGGGAUUACAGGAGUCAGCAGGGCUGGAUUAUAAAAGGCUCUGUGUGCAAUGCUAUCUGUUAGGAUACACAGAGGCUUUGAAGAACUUAUCCACACUUAAAAAAAAAAACAACAGCUGGGCACUGUGGCUCAUGCCUGUAAUCCCAGCACUAUGGGAGGCUGAGGUGGGUGGAUCACCUGAGGUCAGGAGUUCGCGACCAGCCUGGCCAACAUGGUGAAACCCCUUCUCUACUAAAAAUAUGAAAAUUCGCUGGGCAUGGUGGUGCACGCCUAUAAUCCCAGCUACUUGGGAGGCUGAGGCAGGAGAAUCGCUUGAAUCCAGGAGGUGGAGGUUGCAGUGAGCCAAGCUCGUGCCAUUGCACUCCGGCCUGGGCAACAAGAGCAAAACUCUGUCUCAAAACAACAACAACAACAACAAAACACCUCUGAAAUCAAGCAGAGGCUGGCUCUAGAUGGAGGAGAGGCAUUCCAGUGGUUCAGGGGACCGACAGCAAAGAGCUGAACAAAAUCAAUGGUAACAAAAUAGGAAGAAGAGGACAGAUUUGAGAGAUAGCUGGGAAGAAGAAUAAACAGAGCAUGGUACAGAAGUGAGAUAGAGGGAAGCAUCAGGAAGACCGUGGCUUUGGCUUGGGUAAAUGCACAGAAAGAGUCACACCAUUGACUGAUAGCAAACACAAAAAGCAGGUUUCAAGAGGCAAAGGAGAGACAGCAGGCUCAGUUUUGCCUACACCGAGUUUGAGACGUGGGUGAAACGUAGGUGGAAAAGUCCAGCAAGAAGGUGGCUAUAGAACCACCUGGAGGAAGGGAAGAGGGCUAGAGGAAUGGCUUCGGAGGUCAUCAAGAUACAGGUGGUAGUUGAAGUAAUAAGAGGAUGAGCUGGCACAAGAAGAGUGCAAAGAGGGCCCAGCAGGCCAGGAAUUAAGCCCCGGGGAACACAAACACUGAAAGCCAUUUAAGAUCAUCUAAUUACACAUUCACUAAACAAUGUUCUGAUUAUACCUUGGCUGCCCAUGCUGGUUUUCCCUCCAGGAUAAAGUACAUUGAUCAAUAUAAAUCAGUAUUUGGGUCCCUUGAAGUUAAAAUUAUACGAAUUAGCAUUCUGGCCUAUAGCCAGUCUCUUGUGAGUUUGGUUAUUGUGAUUUGUUCCUUCCCAGUGUCCCUACUUUCCUCAACCUAAUUAACCCAGAGACUAGAGUUGUGAUGCUGGGAACAGGCCACGGACCCUAGCAGGCUACCAGGGCCCUACCACCCAGGAAAGCUCCACUUCUAAUCUAAUCUUCUUUCAUCAGGAACCAGCCAGCCCUGUUUUCACUCGUCUCUGUCUCAUAUCUAACCUCAAUCCUAGCUUUGAGUUACAGCCUUGCCACAUAUCAGCUCCAUAACUAGGAAUGAAUGAGUGAAUCUUAAUUCACAGCUAUGAAAAGAAGGGGCUGGCAUAAAAUGAUCUCUAAAGUCUCUUCCAACCAACUCUUUUUCUAGAAAGUACCACUGAACCCUCUGAGAACAUAAGGGAACCUGAAGAGGAUCCACAACUGGGAGGGAUACAGAUAGGCUCUCAAAAGCUGGCGCCUCCUCCAAGACUUAAUCUGCCAGGAGAACUCAGUGAAAGUUUCUCAGUCCAGCAUCAGGGGAUUUUCUCAGCCAGCUUACAAGAGGCAUUUGAGUGAGUCACCCCCAGAUAUUUGGAGGCACCAGUCAACCAAGAAAGGGUAGGUCCUUCUGCCAACAAAGCUGAGCUGUCCUCUCUGAGCAAGUGCAGGUCUUGUGGUUAAAGAGCUGUGUGCCGGCAUCAGGCACACACACACACCAGACGCACUCCCCACCCACAACCCUACCUUCUCAUACUCGUCCUCCCCAGGGUUGUGUUUCUGCAGCCAGUCUGCCAGGGGCCGGUCCUUGAACGAGCCGGUCACCCCAUGCUCCACCUGGAUCUUACGCAGGGUCUCAGCAUUAGGGAUCAUCUCCACCAUCCCUGUGAGGGGAGAAAUGGGGGUCACGUUCCAGACCAGAAUGAAGGGGACUGCAGGGAGAGGACUACAAGGACUGUGCUCAUGCUUCCCUAUAAAUUAAGCUGUAAGGCAUUUGGACUAAGUCUGAUAAUAACAGGAAGAGAAUAACCAUAGAAAGGAAGGUCAUUCCCACAUUUCCUAUUCCAUACUGUGACUUUUUGGUCUCUCCAGUUCAUAGCUGCUGCUCCCUUUGUUUUUAGCUUUUACUAUGGGAAUUUGAAAAUAUAUAUAAGAAUAAAAAGAAUGGUAUCAUGACUUCACAUGUAACUAUCACCCAGCUUCAAAAAUUGUCAACAUUUUGCUAAUCUUGUUUGCUAAUCACACAACCCUAUUUCUCCACUCCCUGCCACCUUGGUUGGAGUAUUUUAAAGCAAAUCCCAGAUACUUUAUUUCACUCAUAAAUAUUUCAAGUGUAAUUAACAAAGACACCAUGCCAUUGUCACAUCCAAAAAAUUAACAAUCACUCUUUAAUCUAACUCAAUCUAUAUUCAAACUUCCCCCAACUGUCUCUCUCCUUCUCUCUCUCUCUCUAUAUAUAUAUUUUCACACAGGGUCUCAUUCUGUCGCCUGGUCUGAAGUACAGUGGCACCAUCAUGGCUUACUGCAGCCUCAAAUUCCUGGACUCAAGCGAUCCAUCUGCCUCAGCCUCCCGAGGAGGUGGGACUGCAGGCACAUGCCAUUAGGCCUGGCUAAUUUUUUAUAAUUUUUAUUAGAGAUGAGGUGUCUAGGUUGGUCCCAAACAUUCCUGAGCUCAAGCAAUUCUCCCAUCUCAGCUUCACAAAGUGCUGGGAUUACAGGCAUGAGCUAGCAUGUCUGGCCCAAAAAAUAUUUCCUUACAAUUGGUUUGUUUUAAUCAGGAUCCAAAGUCUACACAAUAUGCUUGGCUGUCACGGCACCAAGUCUGUUUUACUUUAUAACAGUCUUCUCCCAUGCCUCCCUUUUAAGGCUAUCCCACAGCUUCUCAUGAAAUAAUCUUGCCCUUUUCACUUUCCUGGAGGAGGACACAGUUUGUGUUGGCAAUGGGCAGAAGGACAAUAAGCAAAGCGGUCCCCUCCUCCACCCUCACCCCUACUCCCAACUGACCUCUGCCCCGGCCGGUGGAGAAGCAGCGGAAGAUGACCAUGCGCAUGUCCAGCCCCUCCUGGACCCAGAUCUUGCUCAUGAUGCGAAUCAUCUGCAGCGUUAGCAUGUCCUGGCGAAGGUCGUCCCCACACUGGAUGGAGGGAGAAAGUGACCAGAUCUAAUCUCCACUACCUCCCCAGCUCUCAGGUCUCCCAAGUGCUCAACCUUGGCCCUAAACUAACAGUGACAGGGAGUUCCCCAGCCUCACACCCCUGACCUGCUCACUCAGCUCACACCAGGUCAAAGAUGGCCCAGGAAGCUUCCCAGUUUGCCCAUGUGUUGUUCCAGCUUGUCCUGCAAUCCCAUGGCCCCAUCUGAAUUAAAUUCACGGUCUGCUUCUGCAUGCAGCCC